UCAGAUUUACGUGACAAAAUAAUCACAAAAUUUAACAAUUUGGACAUUCCAUUUUCAAGUGUCUUAAAAAAUACCACAAAUCAAAUAUACUCUUAAAUCUUAUCUAUUUUGAUGCUUUAAAAUUGUGGUGAAAACUGCCAUCUAAAGGUUAUAGCUGAACCACGAACAUUACACAGUAAUUAAUAAGAGAAAAUUUAAAAUAUUUUUAAAAGUUUGGGCUAUUUAAUAUAUCAAAUUAAUUAAGUACUAAUGCAGUACAAGUCCCAUUUGAUUUAGUUUCGAUGUGAGUCACGUCAAAUUUUAAUUUUUACUGCUAUGGUUGUGUGUGUGUGUGUGUGUGUGUGUGUUUUUUUUUUUUGUUGGUAAGGUAGUCUGACUAAUUUAAAAUAAUUUGUUUGUUAGGAUAAAGUUCAUUAUUCCUUAUCUAAUUUGUACGUUAUAGUAAAAUUUCUAUAAUUAAGAGAUUUACUUAAAUGUAGGACAGUAAAUAAUCUUUAUAAAUAGCUCUUAAUUUGUAAUUUUAUAAUUAGUUUAUUAAUUGGAUGAAUUAAUUUUGAUGGUUUAGAAUUUUAUCGAUGUUUGCUCCUUUCUGAGUCUAAAUUAAUCGUCUCUUUUCCUUCGAUUUGACCCAAAAUUCACCAACAAUUUCUCUCUUCUUUUCUUGUAAUUCUUCUUUCGCUUCUUCUCCCCUUUUUUAACUUAUCAUGUUGCUACAAUAACAUGCGUUGCGGUAUUCACUGUGUUACAACCUAAUCCUCCCAGCCUGAGUUGAGCUGAGUGGAGAUGAUGGAUCUUUAGCUCACUAUUGAUCGAUGAGCUCCAUUGAUGGGAAUUUGAGUAAAGUAAUUGGAGGAAAGUGAGAUAGAUCUGAGGGAGAAGCCGAAGAGGAAGAAGAAGAAGAAGAGGAAGAGGAGAGAGAAUAGAAAUUUGUAGAAGCAAUCGGUAAUUUCAUUCAU
rnacentral:lncRNA from 1 species